rnacentral:rRNA from 1 species
UAUUAAAGAGCCGCAGUAUUGUGACUGUGCAAAGGUAGCAUAAUCAUUAGUUUUUUAAUUGAAAACUUGUAUGAAUGGUUGAACAAAAAAAAUUCUGUCUUUAUUGUAAAAAUUGAAUUUAACUUUUAAGUGAAAAGGCUUAAAUUUUUCAGGGGGACGAUAAGACCCUAAAAACUUUAUAAAUAAUUUAAAUUUAAUUGAAUUAAUAUAUAAUAAUGUAAUUUAGAUAUUAUAUUAUGUUGGGGCGACAUAAGUAAAAAUAAUAAUAACUGCUUGAGGUUUAAACAUUUAUAUUUGAAACAGUAGACGAUCCUUAUUAAAGAUUUUGAGAUUAAGUUACUUUAGGGAUAACAGCGUUAUUUUUUUUGAGAGUUCAUAUCGAAAAAAAAGUUUGCGACCUCGAUGUUGAAUUAAAUAUCUUUUUAAUGUAGCCGUUAAAAAAAGAAGGUCUGUUCGACCUUUAAAUUUUUA